rnacentral:rRNA from 1 species
GACGAACGCUGGCGGCGUGCUUAACACAUGCAAGUCGAACGGAAAGGCCCUGCUUUUGUGGGGUGCUCGAGUGGCGAACGGGUGAGUAACACGUGAGUAACCUGCCCUUGACUUUGGGAUAACUCCAGGAAACUGGGGCUAAUAUCGGAUAGGAGCUCCUGCUGCAUGGGGGGGGUUGGAAAGUGUCGGCGGUUGGGGAUGGACUCGCGGCUUAUCAGCUUGUUGGUGGGGUAGGGGCUUACCAAGGCUUUGACGGGUAGCCGGCCUGAGAGGUUGACCGGCGUCCUUGGGCCUACGAUACGCCGCAGACUCCUACGGGAGGCAGCGGGGGGGAGUAUUGCACAACGGGCGGAAGCCUGAGGCAGCAACGCCGCGUGCGGGAUACCGGCCUUCGGGUUAUAAACCGCUUUCGCCUGUGACGAAGCGUGAGUGACGGUAAUGGGUAAAGAAGCACCGGCUAACUACGUG